CCGAGUAUCGGUACCCUUAUGGGUACUUACUCCCACCAUUUGUGAACCUUUUUCGUUGCCUCGGCGGAUCGAUGGUACCCCCAUCCUUCGGCGUAAGUUGAAGAGUGUCCGCCAGAGGAUUUUCAAACCAGUCUUAACAGUGAAAUCUGAGUUUUAAACAAAUAAAAACA
rnacentral:misc_RNA from 1 species